UACGGGGGGGGGCAAGCGUUGUUCGGAAUUACUGGGCGUAAAGGGCUCGUAGGUGGCCAACUAAGUCAUACGUGAAAUCCCUCGGCUUAACCGGGGAACUGCGUCUGAUACUGGAUGGCUUGAGGUUGGGAGAGGGAUGCGGAAUUCCAGGUGUAGCGGUGAAAUGCGUAGAUAUCUGGAGGAACACCGGUGGCGAAGGCGGCAUCCUGGACCAAUUCUGACACUGAGGAGCGAAAGCCAGGGGAGCAAACGGGG
rnacentral:rRNA from 1 species